UUAUGUCUUAAUGCUUACUAAUUCCAGCCAUGUCCCUUCUCCACCGAUUAACACAACGAACAAGCUCUCUCCUCCUCCUCCUCCACCACCACCAGACAUAGAAGACGAUAAGAGGAAGAAGCAGUCAAGUACAAUGAACCAAAAAAGAAAUCGGAGCUGCCCAUCUUCUCAUCUUCUUCCUCCUCAAACUCAUCCACGCCUCGCCUUCAAUCCCAGCUAGUCACGAGUCCAAGCCUCCACUGUCGAACCACCGCCGCCACAAUAAUGGAUGGCCACGAUUCAGAAAAUUCAAAGCAUUGCACUGUUGAUAUGUAUGCUUUUGUGAGUGCCAUUUACUCAGAAACUAUCGAGGGAGAGAGAAGCAAAGAUUUUGUGAGCACGAUUCCAGUCCAUCCCAUUUUCUUC